AGCCGUGUGGUGGGCACAAAGUGACCUAUUCUUUCGCCUUUUACUAAAGAAUACCGUGUGCUCGCCGCCUAAAGCGGUGUACGCCUAUUUUUGGAGGACUAUUUCUUCAGAAAUAAC
rfam:Citrus sinensis cultivar Ridge Pineapple sweet orange scaffold00586_contig_5, whole genome shotgun sequence.